rnacentral:rRNA from 1 species
AGUGAACGCUGGCAGUAGGCCUAACACAUGCAAGUCGAACGGCAGCACAGGAGAGCUUGCUCUCUGGGUGGCGAGUGGCGGACGGGUGAGGAAUACAUCGGAAUCUACCUUUUCGUGGGGGAUAACGUAGGGAAACUUACGCUAAUACCGCAUACGACCUACGGGUGAAAGUGGGGGACCGCAAGGCCUCACGCGAUUAGAUGAGCCGAUGUCCGAUUAGCUAGCUGGCGGGGUAAUGGCCCACCAAGGCGAUGAUCGGUAGCUGGUCUGAGAGGAUGAUCAGCCACACUGGAACUGAGACACGGUCCAGACUCCUACGGGAGGCAGCAGUGGGGAAUAUUGGACAAUGGGCGCAAGCCUGAUCCAGCCAUACCGCGUGGGUGAAGAAGGCCUUCGGGUUGUAAAGCCCUUUUGUUGGGAAAGAAAUCCUAUCGGUUAAUAACCGGUGGGGAUGACGGUACCCAAAGAAUAAGCACCGGCUAACUUCGUGCCAGCAGCCGCCGUAACAC